rnacentral:misc_RNA from 1 species
GAUGAAGAACGUAGCGAAAUGCGAUAAGUAAUGCGAAUUGCAGAAUUUCCGUGAAUCAUCGAAUCUUUGAACGCACAUUGCGCCCGCCAGUAUUCUGGCGGGCAUGCCUGUUCGAGCGUCAUUUCAACCAUCAAGCCCCCGGCUUGUGUUGGGGACCUGCGGCUGCCGCAGGCCCUGAAAUGCAGUGGCGGGCUCGCUGUCACUCCGAGCGUAGUAGUUACAUCUCGCUCUGGGCGUGCUGCGGGUUCCGGCCGUUAAAAGCCUUAUUUACCCAAGGUUGACCUCGGAUCAGGUAGGAAGACCCGCUGAACUUAAGCAUAUCAAUAAGCGGAGGA